CCUACGGGAGGCAGCAGUGGGGAAUUUUGGACAAUGGGCGCAAGCCUGAUCCAGCAAUGCCGCGUGCAGGAUGAAGGCCUUCGGGUUGUAAACUGCUUUUGUACGGAACGAAACGGUCCUUUCUAAUAUAAGGGGCUAAUGACGGUACCGUAAGAAUAAGCACCGGCUAACUACGUGCCAGCAGCCGCGGUAAUACGUAGGGUGCGAGCGUUAAUCGGAAUUACUGGGCGUAAAGCGUGCGCAGGCGGUUAUAUAAGACAGAUGUGAAAUCCCCGGGCUCAACCUGGGACCUGCAUUUGUGACUGUAUAGCUAGAGUACGGUAGAGGGGGAUGGAAUUCCGCGUGUAGCAGUGAAAUGCGUAGAUAUGCGGAGGAACACCGAUGGCGAAGGCAAUCCCCUGGACCUGUACUGACGCUCAUGCACGAAAGCGUGGGGAGCAAACAGGAUUAGAUACCCUGGUAGUCCACGCCCUAAACGAUGUCAACUGGUUGUUGGGUCUUCACUGACUCAGUAACGAAGCUAACGCGUGAAGUUGACCGCCUGGGGAUACGGCCGCAAGGUUGAAACUCAAAGAGUAGUCGGAGNGNGAGAGACGACGACGACGACGAGGAGGGAGGAGG
rnacentral:rRNA from 1 species